AGCAACCCUCCGGCUUAAGGCGCACGCGAUCUUCUUCUCCGGCAUUCUUCCCACGAUCCACCGAACAAGCUUAAGCUCAGGAUGAGGUGGGAAGAUAAAUUUCAGAUGAUAACGUGAUUAAUGAUGCAAGCUGCGAAGAAGAUAGUUCAUUCGACGAAGAGGACCUAAUCAAGGGUCUCAAAUUCCAACCAAUAUUGAUGGACGGACUAAAAUAAAUGUGGUUAUGAAUAAAUUUGUCGAAAAUA